rnacentral:rRNA from 1 species
UACGUAGGGUGCAAGCGUUAAUCGGAAUUAUCUGGGCGUAAAGCGUGCGCAGGCGGUUCUAUAAGACAGAUCGUGAAAUCCCGGGCUCAACCUGGGAACUGCAUUUGUGACUGUAGAGCUGGAGUGCGGCAGAGGGGGAUGGAAUUCCGCGUGUAGCAGUGAAAUGCGUAGAUAUGCGGAGGAACACCGAUGGCGAAGGCAAUCCCCUGG